rnacentral:lncRNA from 1 species
AGUAAUGGUGCAUCCUGCUUGUUGAGUGACUAACACAUGAAUCACAAAAUACAACUUGUCACAGUGAGAAAAGGAAUUUAUGUGUUCAUUUUUGUUGUGUCUUGCAGCUUCUUUGUCAGGGACUUAGCUGGUCACAGAAGGACACUGCCUGCCCUCCAUUUCGAAGGCAGCAGCUGAAAUACAAUCUGGACAGAUAUUCCUCCAAUGUACCAACAGUCUUUCCCAUCAGAAAGUAUCACCCCUGGCUGCAGAACAAGGGUAGCAUGGAUGCUGACUCUUGCAACACUGGUGGAACAGCCUGCUCCAUGAAAAAGGGUGGUGUUUGGGAACCUGAAGUACAGAUAGACCUUGAGUUGUUUAACACCAACGUUUUCUUCGAACUUUUGCUGAGGCAGUCACAGUCAGUCACAGCCAAACUGGGCCAUUUCAAAGAAGAGGUGAAAACAUUUUAUCACAAGCUUACAAGUGAAAUAUCUGCACUGAAAAGCCUUUGGAUCAUGACACUAAAUAUCCCAGAAGAGAUAGAGUCUUAUGAGAGCACAACGAUGGAGAAUUACUUAAAAGCAAAACAGCAGGCAGAAGAAGAAAUGCAGCACAGGAAGCAGUUGGCUGCAGAAUAUGAGGAAUGUGUGAACAAACAGAUGCAGUUACUGCAGCAUGAUCUGAAAUGCCAGGAAGAGCAUUAUGUCACGUUCAAUUCUGCCCUGCGAGAGGCAGUGAGGUUGGCAGAGAUGCUGACAAAUAAGAUGGCUUGUAAAAGAAGCCCAACCACUUGGUCCCAGCCAGACUGUAAAAGGUAAUAAACGUACUGAAACCUUCUGCUACAACUUUGUAUUUCCUAGCUGGAAGGAUUUGUGGCAGGUGAUUGUGUUGGCUUGUAUUAAGAAGAGAUAAUCUAAUAGAGAUUAUGAACAGCUGUUUUAAAUCUCACACAGAGCCAUAUAGUGAAGAGACCCCCAUCUGAAUCUAAGGGACAACAAUCUUCUGAGAGUGUUUUCUUUCACUGCCAAAUGCUUUCUAUUGUGGUAUUAUGCCAGUUAAGGUCAGUGUACAAACCAUGCUCUGUCAGGACUUUGAAUGUUCAGAAUCAGAAUUCUGUGAUUAAGGAGAAAACAGAAAAAAAGAGAAAUUGGUAUUUUUAAUGCAGUAGCCAAAGCAAAUACUCAUAGAGAUCUUCAGGUUCCAAAGUGCAGAGAUCAUUUGCAUGUCCUUCCAAGCUCUUCCUGUACUGCUCCCUUGAAAUUAUUUUAUCUUAACUUCAUGUGGCAAGUAACCACCUUUUAAAUUCCAGCCUGUUAGCCCAGAUAGAUGCUGCAAGCAACAGGAUGUCAAGCUUAAUAAUAACAGAGAGCCACCGCCUGAAAGCAUGGGGAGUGCUGGGUGAAGGAACAGGAGCUCACCUUCUUAACAAAGAUAAAACCAGGAUCCUUACCAAACAGGAGCUUGUGGGUAACUACAACCUCUAGAAAUUCUUUUCAAAAUGAUGCUAGAAUGUAAGGAAGUGUAGUCAGGAAGGUGCACAUCUGCUCCUCUUGAUGCUUUAAUAAAUAGGUGACAAAAGCACCA